rnacentral:rRNA from 1 species
CCUACGGGAGGCAGCAGUCGAGAAUCAUUCACAAUGGGGGAAACCCUGAUGGUGCGACGCCGCGUGGGGGAAUGAAGGUCUUCGGAUUGUAAACCCCUGUCAUGUGGGAGCAAAUUAAAAAGAUAGUACCACAAGAGGAAGAGACGGCUAACUCUGUGCCAGCAGCCGCGGUAAUACAGAGGUCGCAAGCGUUGUUCGGAAUCACUGGGCGUAACGCGGGCGUAGGCUGUUGCGUAAGUCGUGUGUGAAAGGCGCGGGCUCAACCCGCGGACGGCACAUGAUACUGCGAGACUCGAGUAAUGGAGGGGGAACCGGAAUUCUCGGUGUAGCAGUGAAAUGCGUAGAUAUCGGGAGGAACACUCGUGGCGAAGGCGGGUUCCUGGACAUUAACUGACGCUGAGGCACGAAGGCCAGGGGAGCGAAAGGGAUUAGAUACCCUAGUAGUC